UGGGGCCCAUGGGUUGGAUCUAUGGGGGGUUCCAUUGGGGGUUUGAUCUAUGGCGGCUCAUGGGGGUUGGAUCUAUGGGGUCCAUUAGAUUGGAUCUAUGGGACCAUUUUGAGUUAUCUUAUGGGGGGCCCAUAGGGUUGUAUGCUAUUGGGGGCCAUAGGGGUUGGAUCUAUGGGGGGCCCAUUUGGGGUUGGAUCUAUGGGGUGAGAUCUUGUGGGGUCAUUGGAUAUCUAUUGGGGUUGGAUCUAUUGGGGUGGGAUCUGUGGGGGCUCGUAAUUAAAAAAAACAAAAAAAAGUUAUGGGGGUUGGAUCUAUGGGGUUGGAAUCUGGGGUUAUUGAUAUCUAUUGGGGUCGGAUCUAAUUGGGUUAGAUUUGUGGGGCUCAUUGAUGUCCUAUGGGUCGGAUCUAUGGGGCUCAUUGAGAUCUAUGGGCUGGAGGGAUUUAUUGCGGCUAGGAGUUGGGUUUAUAGUUUUGGUAGGGGAAAAUCUAUGGGGCUGGCUAUGGGGCUGGUGUGUGUUAUGGGGUUGGUAGGCGAUCUAUGGGGCUGGCUAGUGGGGCUGGCUGUUUUUUUUUUUGUUGUUUUUUUACGGAGGGGUGUUAGGGGAUCUUAAUGGGGCUGGCUGUGUGUUACGGGUUGCCGUAGAGGGAUCUAUGGGGCUGGGCUUAUGGGGCUGGCUGUUGUGUUAUUGGGUGUUGGUUAAGGGGAAUCUAUGGGGGCUGGCUAUGGGGGCUGGCUGUGUGUUACGGGUUUGGUAGGGAUCUGUGGGCUGGCAUAUGGGGCUGGGCUGUGUGUUCAUGGGUGGUAGGGGAAUCUAUUGGGGCUUGGCUUAUGGCGCUGGCUGUGUGUUAACGGGGGUUGGUAGGGAUCUGUGGGGCUGGCUAUGGGCUGGCUUGUGUUUAUGGGGUUGGUAGGGAAUCUAUGGGGCUGGCUAUGACGGGAGGGCGGGGGCUUAGCUGUUGUUAUUUGGGGCUUAUAGUCAGGCGGAUCUAUGGGGCUGAUAGAGAAUCCUAUGGGGCUGGGUAGGGAAUCUAUGGGCCUGUAGGGGGAUCUGUGGGCGGGCUGGUUAAGGGAUCUGAGGGUGAGAUCUAUGGGGCUUGGCUGUGGUAUGGGGACUGAUAGGGGAUCUAUGGGCUAGUAGGGGAUAGGGAUGAUAUGGGGCUGGUGAGGGAUCUGAGGACGGGAUCUAUG
ensembl:lncRNA